rnacentral:lncRNA from 10 species
AUGCUUUCAGCUCUCAGUUGUUCGAAGAACACUUCCAAAUAGAUUCAUUUCAUCUUCAAAUAAUCCUUAGAAAUAGGCAUGGCACAUAUGAUUCUCUAUGGCAUGUAAGAGGACUGAGGCCCAGAGCCGUGAAGUGAACUAUUCAAGGUCUCACAGUGAUGUUGUGACUCAGUUGAGUUUGGCCAGUGAGUGCUGCAGGAUACUGGAGGGAGGGCAACAGAGAGGAAGGUCACCUACAUGUCUAUGUUCAGAAGCUGCCUUGAUGCCACAUGCGGGAGGCUGGAAACGCUGAAGGAUGACCACUGCUCAGCAGCAGUCUACCAGUGAUGGAUGAGAGUUGGUGCACAAAUACCCCAGCUCCCUUGCCUCUCAGUUUGGAUAAUCCUGAAAAGGUGUGUACUAUGCUAUUUCUGAGAUUAAGCCCUAGUUACCCAUAGUGGUAGCUAAAUAUAGUAGUUGGCUGUAUUCUCCAUCACUUCUUGAAUCCCCUGCCAGUGUUCUCUGCACCUCCUUAAUAAACCACUUGAAACAAAAAUCAAGUCUUUCUUUCUCUCACGGUCUGCAUCUUGGGGAACACAAACUAAGACACAGUCUCAAAAAAGUUAACAUUUGUAAAACAUCUAGUUUAUUUUUUCAUCUUACCCUACAAGUAAUAAAAAAGACAAAAAAAACCAAAACAAAACACCUUUCAUGGGAGAGGGGACAUUCAACUAAGAUGCUUUGAGUUGCUUUUCCUGUUAACGUUAUGCCAAAUUUAGAAGAAAAGAAUGCCAGAAGAGGGCAGAGGAUAUGUAUUAUGUCUAUAUCUUCGAGACAUGAGGUCUUGCUAUGUUCCCCAGGCUAGAAUGCAGUGGCUAUUCAUAAGCAG